AUUGAACGCUGGCGGCAGGCCUAACACAUGCAAGUCGAGCGGAUGAGUGGAGCUUGCUCCAUGAUUCAGCGGCGGACGGGUGAGUAAUGCCUAGGAAUCUGCCUGGUAGUGGGGGACAACGUUUCGAAAGGAACGCUAAUACCGCAUACGUCCUACGGGAGAAAGUGGGGGAUCUUCGGACCUCACGCUAUCAGAUGAGCCUAGGUCGGAUUAGCUAGUUGGUGAGGUAAAGGCUCACCAAGGCGACGAUCCGUAACUGGUCUGAGAGGAUGAUCAGUCACACUGGAACUGAGACACGGUCCAGACUCCUACGGGAGGCAGCAGUGGGGAAUAUUGGACAAUGGGCGAAAGCCUGAUCCAGCCAUGCCGCGUGUGUGAAGAAGGUCUUCGGAUUGUAAAGCACUUUAAGUUGGGAGGAAGGGCAGUAAGUUAAUACCUUGCUGUUUUGACGUUACCAACAGAAUAAGCACCGGCUAACUUCGUGCCAGCAGCCGCCGCAGUAA
rnacentral:rRNA from 1 species